rnacentral:rRNA from 1 species
UACGUAGGUGGCGAGCGUUGUCCGGAUUUACUGGGCGUAAAGGGCGUGCAGGCGGUUUGUUAAGUGCAGGGUGAAAGCUCCCGGCUCAACUGGGAGAGGUCCUUGCAUACUGGCGAACUCGAGGGAGGCAGAGGAAAGUGGAAUUCCCGGUGUAGUGGUGAUAUGCGUAGAUAUCGGGAGGAACAUCAGUGGCGAAAGCGGCUUCCUGGACCAGCACCGACGUUCAGGCACGAAAGCGUGGGGAGCAAACAGG